rnacentral:rRNA from 1 species
GAUUAUGUGGAUUAAUUCGAUGCAACGCGAAAAACCUUACCUACCCUUGACAUGCUAGGAAGCCCGCAGAGAUGUGGGCGUGCCCGAAAGGGAACCUAGACACAGGUGCUGCAUGGCUGUCGUCAGCUCGUGUCGUGAGAUGUUGGGUUAAGUCCCGCAACGAGCGCAACCCUUGCCAUUAGUUGCUACAUUCAGUUGGGCACUCUAAUGAGACCGCCGGUGACAAACCGGAGGAAGGUGGGGAUGACGUCAAGUCCUCAUGGCCCUUAUGGGUAGGGCUUCACACGUAAUACAAUGGUCGGUACAGAGGGCUGCCAACCCGCAAGGGGGAGCUAAUCCCAGAAAGCCGAUCGUAGUCCGGAUUGUAGUCUGCAACUCGACUGCAUGAAGCCGGAAUCGCUAGUAAUCGCGGAUCAGCAUGUCGCGGUGAAUACGUUCCCGGGUCUUGUACACACCGCCCGUCACACCAUGGGAGUGGGUUCCACCAGAAGUAGUUAGCCUAACCGCAAGGAGGGCGAUUGCCACGGUGAGAUUCAUGACUGGGGUGAAGUCGUCGUAACAAGGUAACCGUAA